UUUUUAAUGAUGUUGUAUAUUGAGAAGUGUAAAAAAAAAAAAAGUCAUGUUAACCUGUGAGGUUUGAACUCUACAUAAUGUUAGAAAAAAGCUAAAGGCUGUAAAUUACAUAACAAAAUGACACUAGCUUUUGAGUCUUAAGUGAAUAUGUGUCUUUUAUUUUGCUUAAGCGCACAGUAUGUCAUUUUGCCACUAGGGGUCUCUCAAUGAGAACAAUAACAAUGGAAGUAGUUUGAAGUCUUCUCCACCAGAACACAAUAAAUGACAGGGAUUAGUUGUGAUCCACUAGACACAUUAAAUACGCACAAUAAAAAAAGAAGGAUUUGUGUUUUUCCAUACACUGAUGUUUCAUGGGGGUUUGUCCCAGUAGUUCAAGCUGAGACGGGUGAAGUAGAUUAAAAGGCGACCAAAAUGAAUCCAUUACUUUGAACAGAAAUAUGGAUUUAAACACUUUAGCUGUAAGACUACAUUUCAACAAAACAUAUCACAUUAGUCUUGUAGCUGUUAGAUAUUUUGAGGCAUGAAAUGUAAUGAAACUAAGUUUGUUAUCAUGUUAUCAUUUAAUGAAGGUUUGUUCUCCAAGAUGGAGCUGAGGUUUUUGCUCACUGGAGAAGUCUCCACCGCUUUGUUGAUGGUGAUGUGUGCAGAGCAGGCCUUUAGUGUUUGGUGUCAGCUUUGUGAGAAAAGCAAACAGCACAAAUACUGACCAGUCAGGUCGCUGGAAAAACCACAGUCAUCAUUCCUACAGAAAUGAGUUUACAGUCAAGUGACAGAUAAUAAAGGGCAGCAGAUAUUUUUAUACUUUCCAUGUGUCCACACUCUGGUUUUUAAAAAUGGAGCGUCUGACAAAGGGAGGAAGAGUUUAUUGCAAUAAAUCCACGUGUCAUUACUGUAAUAGAACAAUAAUAAUAAUAAUAAUGACACUGUCUAACUAUCACUGAAGUGGUCACUCACCUCAUCAAACUACGCACAUUCUGACAUCAACCUUUUUGUGUCUGCAUAAAAGUUUGUUCAACAUUAAAAUUGCUCAAUUUGAUAUAUUUAAUAUUUCUGCUACUUCUUAAAUAUGUAUACUCAGACUUAUUUUUAUAAAUGGAAUUAAUCUUUUCAAGAGCUGUUCAUAAUCUUGACAUUAUACCUUGUUAUGCCUUUCAGUCGUCACGGUUGCCAGAUUUGCUUGCAGAAAUCAUUGUUUGCCCUCACUUCCUAUGAAGAGAUUUACUCAUGGUUGUGUUCUUGUUGCUUUUAAUAAACAUGGCCUUGUCUUUUUUCAUCAGUUUGGAGUCUGCAGUGUCUCAGUCUGACAGGAGAGGCUGAGGGAGGGAUUAACAUGUCUGCACUGAGACUUUCAUAGUCUGCCAUGGAGCUCUGCAACUUCAUCUGAGGUGUCGAGUAAAUCAGAGGGGAAGUGACCACUAGUAGUGUUACGGCAACAGAACUUACUCACCGGAGGUUUUAUGUAAACGUUGAAAAAGAAGUAAACUUCAUUCAAUUCAUGCAAUGAAGCGUGAAGACAAUAAAAUUAGCUUUAAACCACACUGCAAGAGUUUAAACAGUAAAAGGAAGUUAGAUUUAACACAGGUUAAAACUUCUAAUUGGAGCAAAAACAAGUUUCAAACAUAGAUAAAACCAUAAAAUGAUGCUGCACGAUAAAAAGAAUAUUAAACUAAUUAAAUAACGAACAUGAAUUUAUAAGUAAGAGUUGCUCAUUGUUAGACACUAUCAAACAAUAAAGAAAUGAGACUCAGGUGACAUGAAUAGAUGACAGUAUAUAAUAGUUCUGUACUAUAUUUUACUAUGGAUUAGCUGAUCUAAUACGUGUUAUAGUUAUCAGUAUAUGGUAUAUUUAUUUCAGAUGGAAAAGUGUUGUUUUAUUUUAAGCAGUAUCUGAACGGAGAUAUUUAUUUCUUCCAUUAUGAGAGUACUCUUUAAAAUGUCUGUUUAUGGCUAGGUGGUAAAUUCAUCAGCACAACUGUGUUUUUAACAGCUUAUUUAAUUAAAGGUCCAGUGUGUAACA